rnacentral:lncRNA from 1 species
GAUAGAUAGAUAGAUAGAUAGAUAGAUAGAUAGAUAGAUAGAUAGAUAGAUAGAUAGAUAGAUAGAUAGAUAGAAAGUUGUAGAAUUGUAAAAGUUAUAUUAUUUAUUUAUUCACCUAGAAUAAGAAGUUUCAUGAAAUUUUUUAGAGGUGUCAAAUCAUCACAAUGCUUGCUUAAUAGAUAGAAGAUAGAUAAAUAGAUUUGAAAGUUGAAAAUAAAUACAAUAUUCUAACAAUUACUUAAAGCUUGCAACUGUGGAACAAAACACUAAAUGUCAAUUUUCAACCUGAAAAAAGAUAGAGAUAAUUAAAAAAGUUAUUAGAUAUGAUGUCUUAUAAGAUCAUAAGAGCAAUCAAACAAUUAUAAUUUACAAACUUACAUGAAAGACAAUUAUCUCAUACCUAUGUAUAUCAAUUUCUUAAACAUUGAGUCGCAUGCUUGGGAAUGUAA